rnacentral:tRNA from 1 species
GUUUUAAUAGUUUAAAAAUAAAAUAUUAAAUUGCAAAUUUAAUGAUAGAAUAAUUCUUUAAAACU